GUGGACAACCUGCCCCGGGCUCCAGGAUAGCCUUCCUAACGGAUGGGUAAUACUGGGUACGCUCGCUUGAAGACAUCUUCGAGCGAGGAUAGUUCCGACGGCCCGGGAGGGGUUCACGUGAUAUUAGCUAGUUGGUGGGGUAACGGCCCACCAAGGCCAAGAUGUCUAGCGGGUGUGAGGGCACGACCCGCGCCACUGGCACUGGGACACUGGCCAGACUCCUACGGGAGGCUGCAGUCGAGGAUCUUCGGCAAUGGGCGCAAGCCUGACCGAGCGACGCCGCGUGAGCGAUGAAGGCCUUCGGGUCGUAAAGCUCUGUCGUGGGGGAGAAAAGGGUUAAACCUUGAUCGACCCCAGGAGGAAGCACGGGCUAAGUUCGUGCCAGCAGCCGCGGUAAGACGAACCGUGCGAACGUUAUUCGGAAUCACUGGGCUUAAAGGGCGCGUAGGCGGGCUCGUUAGUCAGGGGUGAAAUCCCACGGCCCAACCGUGGAAGUGCCUCUGAUACUGCGGGCCUC
rnacentral:rRNA from 1 species